rnacentral:tRNA from 1 species
GCGGACGUGUCCGAGUGGUUAGGAAACAGCCUGCAGAGCUGUAUGCACGGGAGUUCAAAUCUCUCCGUCCGCUCCA